CGCCUGAAAGGAUUAACCCUUGAAAUUGCAGUAAAAAAUUCAACAAUGAAAUGAAGUUUUUAACAUGGAAUGACCCUUGAAACUGAGCAUGGAAUACAUCAGAACCAACAAUCCCAUGUAUAGAAUCAUGUUAUUUGACGGCAAGAUGAGCGAGCCGUCGAAAUCAGGAAUUUGGUGUUUCCUAGUUCAUAUAGAGUUAAAAUAAAGAACAUUAGAGGAGAAAGAAUGUACAAUUGGAAAUGAAAGGUAAUCAAACAUCAUCUGCAUCACUUCCACCAACAUGUGCUUCAUGAUUCAUCCAAUAACUGCUUCCAUCAGGACCAGCUACCUUAAACCGCUCGAGAACAGAUUUUC
rnacentral:misc_RNA from 1 species